AAUCAACAAAACGCCCAUUUGACUGUGUACAUAUUUCUCGAUUUUUGUUUCUAACAUUUAAAUUUCUAAUAUCUUCGCACCUAUUAAAAGAUUUAAGACAGGAUGAAUAUUUAGCCCUGGUUGCAAGACUGAUUCUGCAUGUAAAAGAUUAUAGUUCAUCAAAAGAUACAUUGCAAGAAAAGGGAUGCAAAAGAAUGAAAAGAAUCUUCAGAGUCAUCAAAAUCUGCAAGCACAUCUCCAAAGCGGAAGAAUGCAGACCUUGAAAAAGGAAGUGCACCAGACAAAGCUAGGAAAACAAGCAGAAAUAAUAACAACAACAUAUGUGGAACAUAUGAAGAACGAAUGUUGGCUGUGGAAAAACAAAAACUGGACAUAAUGCGCCAGAAGUUACAAGUUAAGACAGACAUUAGAGAUGAGCUGCAUAACAUAAAUAGUUUUUUUUUGCUCUUUAAGCAGUGUCACUUUGCCCACUUACAACCCAAUACCAUAGUUUAUAUUCUUUACAUAUAAUAGCUAAGUUAUUGUUUUUGUGUGAUUAGUCAUAUGCAUCAUAUGAUAUUCAAAAAUGAAUGUGAACAACUUUAAUUUAAUUAUCAAUUUCAUCCAUUAAUGAAGAAUGAUAAAUGUAACUUCAACGAAUUUCCAAUUUUAAACAUAACUUUUGUUGUCUAAUUUAUGAGCAAGUUCAUUUUUAUGAGCACCUUGACAUAUUUCAAAGACAUUGUUCAAAUAUUCAAAACAUAAAAUAACAUUAUAUAUGAAACAGUGUAAUAAAUCUAUAGGAUAUGAUGUUUUAUGGUUUGGUAUUAAAUUGUUAUUGUAAAUACACGACUCACUGAGCUGUUUCAUCAAGUUCAUAAAGUUUUAGAAUAAAUAAACGACACUUUGCCGCGUUUGCACGCCAUUUCCGUUAACAGGCCCAUCAAACACAUGGUCGUCAUGGUCGUCCUCGUCCAAGAUAAAUGGGUGUGCACAAUUCAUUUCCUUGCAUAAGAUUGUGUAAUCUCAUACAUACACUUACAAUUUGUGCAGCUUUUGAGUGCUUAACUAACAGGCAUCCUCCACUUGUGUGUAAACAUCUUUAAAGGCAAUAUUGCUUGUUUUAAUUAAAUUAAAAUUUAAAUUCACCAUGACAUAUUGUCGUACUGAUUUUUGUUUAAAGUGUUUAUUAUGAAUUAUGAUAAUGGUUUACAAAAUGUAAAUAUCUUUAAAAUAAAUCAAAUAGUGUUUUUUUUUCAAAUUUGUAAAAUAUAGUACCCUAACAUGUUAACUGUUAUAAUUUUAUAACUGUCUAACAAUGGUUUGAAUUUCCUGUAACAUUUAUUUUAGUGUGCAUAUACUUGCCUUAACCUGGAUUUCAAUAUUCCAAAGGCCCUAUCCGACACUAGUCUGGUCUUAAGACGGGCAUUGUUGAAAAGAAUCUCCAAGAGUAUGCCAAUUGGUGUUAGUAAAUAUGGUUUUAAACCAUAAUCACUGUCGCCCAACAGCCAGUUGUGGUCAGUAGUUGCCAGCCACUGCUUCAAGGCACAGUUUUCCAUGACUGUGCUGUCAUGAACUGAACCUGGCAAUUGGGCGACAACAUCAGUGCAUCUGUAACAUAUAUUUCAUU